GAGUGAGUGGCGAACUGGUGAGUAACACGUGGGACACCUGCCCAGAAGCGGGGGAUAACACCUGGAAACCAGAUGCUAAUACCGCAUAACACCUUGGCCCGCAUGGUCCGACAUUAAAAGAUGGCUUCGGCUAUCACUUUUGGAUGGUCCCGCGGCGUAUUAGCUAGAUGGUGGGGUAACGGCUCACCANGGCAAUGAUACGUAGCCGACCUGAGAGGGUNAUCGGCCACAUUGGGACUGAGACACGGCCCAAACUCCUACGGGAGGCAGCAGUAGGGAAUCUUCCACAAUGGACGAAAGUCUGAUGGAGCAACGCCGCGUGANUGAAGAAGGCUUUCGGCUCGUAAAANUCUGUUGUNANAGAAGAACAUNUGUGAGAGUAACUGUUCAGGUAUUGACGGUAUCUNACCAGAAAGCCACGGCUAACUACGUGCCAGCAGCCGCGGUAAUACGUAGGUGGCNAGCGUUGUCCGGAUUUAUUGGGCGUAAAGCGAGCGCAGGCGGUNUUUUAAGUCUGAUGUGAAAGCCUUCGGCUCAACCGAUAGAAGUGCAUCGGAAACUG
rnacentral:rRNA from 2 species